rnacentral:rRNA from 1 species
UACGGAGGGUGCAAGCGUUAUCCGGAUUCACUGGGUUUAAAGGGUGCGUAGGUGGAGUGGUAAGUCAGUGGUGAAAUCUCCAAGCUUAACUUGGAAACUGCCGUUGAUACUAUCAUUCUUGAAUAUCGUGGAGGUAAGCGGAAUAUGUCAUGUAGCGGUGAAAUGCCUAGAUAUGACAUAGAACACCGAUUGCGAAGGCAGCUUGCUACACGAUCAUUGACACUGAGGCACGAAAGCGUGGGGAUCAAACAGG